rnacentral:snoRNA from 1 species
AGCCUCUCAGGGUCACACCUGGAGAUUUCCCAGUCCUCUACCAGUCUCGACUACAGGAGGGAGAGUCAGGCAGAGGCAUAUCCAUUCCAUUCCUAGCUUGGGCAGUGGCUAGCGAGUGGCAGGCAAUCUGCUACAAGU